AGCGAACGCUGGCGGCAGGCUUAACACAUGCAAGUCGAGCGGGCACUUUCGGGUGUCCGCGGCGGACGGGUGAGUAACGCGUGGGAACGUGCCCUCUGGUUCGGAAUAACUCAGGGAAACUUGAGCUAAUACCGGAUACGCCCUUUUGGGGAAAGGCUUGCUGCCGGAGGAUCGGCCCGCGUCUGAUUAGCUAGUUGGUGAGGUAACGGCUCACCAAGGCGAUGAUCAGUAGCUGGUCUGAGAGGAUGAUCAGCCACACUGGGACUGAGACACGGCCCAGACUCCUACGGGAGGCAGCAGUGGGGAAUAUUGGACAAUGGGCGCAAGCCUGAUCCAGCCAUGCCGCGUGAGUGAUGAAGGCCUUAGGGUUGUAAAGCUCUUUUAUCCGGGACGAUAAUGACGGUACCGGAGGAAUAAGCCCCGGCUAACUUCGUG
rnacentral:rRNA from 1 species